GAACCUACGGGGCGCAGCAGUGGGGGAUAUUGCACAAUGGAGGAAACUCUGAUGCAGCGACGCCGCGUGAGGGAAGACGGUCUUCGGAUUGUAAACCUCUGUCUUUGGGGAAGAAAAUGACGGUACCCAAAGAGGAAGCUCCGGCUAACUACGUGCCAGCAGCCGCGGUAAUACGUAGGGAGCGAGCGUUGUCCGGAAUUACUGGGUGUAAAGGGAGCGCAGGCGGGAAGCCAAGUCAGCUG
rnacentral:rRNA from 1 species